rnacentral:rRNA from 1 species
AGUGAACGCUGGCGGUAGGCCUAACACAUGCAAGUCGAACGGCAGCACAGUAAGAGCUUGCUCUUACGGGUGGCGAGUGGCGGACGGGUGAGGAAUACAUCGGAAUCUACCUUUUCGUGGGGGAUAACGUAGGGAAACUUACGCUAAUACCGCAUACGACCUACGGGUGAAAGCAGGGGAUCUUCGUACCUUGCGCGAUUGAAUGAGCCGAUGUCGGAUUAGCUAGUUGGCGGGGUAAAGGCCCACAAAGGCGACGAUCCGUAGCUGGUCUGAGAGGAUGAUCAGCCACACUGGAACUGAGACAAGGUCCAGACUCCUAAGGGAGGCAGCAGUGGGAAGUAUUGGACAAUGGGCGCAAGACUGAUCCAGCCAUACCGCGUGGGUGAAGAAGGCCUUCGGGUUGUAAAGACCUUUUGUUGAGAAAGAAAAGCAGGAGGGUAAUACCGCGCUGUUCUGAAGGUACCCAAAGAAUAAGCACCGGCUAACUUAGUG